GAUGAACGCUGGCGGCAGGCCUAACACAUGCAAGUCGAACGAACCCUUCGGGGUUAGUGGCGGACGGGUGAGUAACACGUGGGAACGUGCCUUUAGGUUCGGAAUAACUCAGGGAAACUUGUGCUAAUACCGAAUGUGCCCUUCGGGGGAAAGAUUUAUCGCCUUUAGAGCGGCCCGCGUCUGAUUAGCUAGCUGGUGAGGUAAUGGCUCACCAAGGCUACGAUCAGUAGCUGGUCUGAGAGGAUGACCAGCCACAUUGGGACUGAGACACGGCCCAAACUCCUACGGGAGGCAGCAGUGGGGAAUCUUGCGCAAUGGGCGAAAGCCUGACGCAGCCAUGCCGCGUGGAUGAUGAAGGUCUUAGGAUUGUAAAAUCCUUUCACCGGUGAAGAUAAUGACUGUAGCCGGAGAAGAAGCCCCGGCUAACUUCAUGCCAGCCGCCGCAGUAACAC
rnacentral:rRNA from 1 species